rnacentral:piRNA from 1 species
UACAACUUACCCAAGCUGUGGUAUUGUGU